UACGUAGGUGGCAAGCGUUGUCCGGAUUUAUUGGGUUUAAAGGGUGCGUAGGCGGCCCUGUAAGUCAGUGCUGAAAUAUCCCGGCUUAACCGGGAGGGUGGCAUUGAUACUGCGGGGCUAGAGUACAGAUGAGGUAGGCGGAAUUGACGGUGUAGCGGUGAAAUGCGUAGAUAUCUGGAGGAACACCGGUGGCGAAGGCGGCAUCCUGGACCGACAUUGACGCUGAGGCGCGAAAGCCAGGGGAGCAAACGGG
rnacentral:rRNA from 1 species